UGAAGGAGUAACCUCUGCUAAGAGGACAAAGAAAAGAGGAGAAAAAUCCUGAGAUAAACGGUGAUAAGAGAAAGAGAAAGCGAGCACACUUACCUGCUGGAAGUUCGGAGCCAAGUGACUACACGAAGGAGACGAGUUACGUCGAUAUAUAUACAUAGAUGCCGCACCCUGGCUUGUGGGAUGCGUCAAUACCGCCGCCAUCUUGCCUAGGUGCUCUGACCAGUUCAGACCCAUGUCAGACUCGGCAAAAAUGCCACAUUUUUGCUCUGCAUUUGGGUGUACGAAUGAAAGAAGUGUUAAAACCAAGCAGAAGGGAAUAACAUUCCACAGUUUCCCAAAAAACACAGAUAGGAGACGGGCAUGGGUAGCAGCAGUGAGGAGAAAGGACUUUGUCCCGAGUGACUCCUCAGUCAUCUGCAGCUGUCACUUCAGACCUGAGGACUUCGACAGGACUGGGCAGACUCCUAAAAAUAAUACUAGCUACUGUACACUGUAUUUUUUGUAAAUAUGACCUAAUAAUGUAAACAGUUCUGUGUCCAGGCUCCCAUGAGCACUGUGGUGUUAUACAUAUGAGAUUAAAGCAAAAUUUUGUGUAAACAUGCAGCUCUAAGUCAUUUAUUUUCACUUGUACAAAACCAACAUUUGUUAAUCAGAAUCUACACUGCAGCUCGGCACAACCCUGCUGAUACACUAUUUUUUGCACAUUGUGUGAAAUGUGAAUAAACAUUUAUAGUCAAAAUUAAUAAUUAAAUGACAUCAUGGUGGGCAUUGUACAUCUAGUAAGAAAAAAGAAUAUUUAUUACAUGGGGAAAGUUUAGUUUAAAUGUGUUGUAGAACUAUUACUGUUACUUUAUCUACAUAAGAUCAAAUAUUUUGGUAUGAAAAGCUGCAUUUUUUAUUUAACCAAGUAUCCUGUAUCAUAACUACAUGUCUGACAAUUGUAACAAACCAAACCGCAUGAAAAUCAGUUGAGAAUUCAGCGAGUAAUGAUGAUUUUAAUCAUAAAUAAUCUCCUGCCUCAAUAGACAUACAUGCAUUAGGCAGCGCGGCUCCACCUGGGCAAGAUGGCGGCCGCGUUGACGUAUCGCUCCAAUGAGGAGCACCGUUGAAUGCGGCAUCUAC